UACAGAGGGUGCGAGCGUUAAUCGGAAUUACUGGGCGUAAAGCGCGCGUAGGCGGCUUUGCAAGUCGGGUGUGAAAUCCCCAGGCUUAACCUGGGAACUGCAUUCGAGACUGCAUUGCUAGAGUAUGGGAGAGGGAAGUGGAAUUUCUGGUGUAGCAGUGAAAUGCGUAGAUAUCAGAAGGAACAUCAGUGGCGAAGGCGGCUUUCUGGACCAAUACUGACGAUCAGGUGCGAAAGCGUGGGGAGCAAACAGG
rnacentral:rRNA from 1 species